GUGCGAGACCGAUAGCGAACAAGUACCGUGAGGAAAAGAUGAAAAGAACUUUGAAAAGAGAGUUAAAGAGUACCUGAAACUGCUGAAAGGGAAGCGAAUCGUAUCCAGUGUCUAUAAUCUGCGGCAUAUUUCAUUGGCGGCGGUGCGCGUGCUUUUGCGUCGGAAGCGGCUUUUGUUGCUCUGUGCUUUUGCUGUGCGUGGUGUUGCUGGUGCCCUGUGUUGCGGUGGGACGUCAGAGUCAGUUUGUAUGCUGCGGGAAAUGGCUGCCGAGGAGGUAGGUCGAGAUUUCGGUCUUGGCUGUUAUAUCUUGGUGGUUUGUUGUCGUGGUUGAGACUGAGGUGCCUACAAUGUGCUUUUGAGUGUACCGGGUUCUCAUUUGGUGGACUGUUUGGAUAGCUUGCUAUGCUUGUGGUUUUUUCAUCGGGUGAUUGAGUCUGGUGGUAACUUGUUGCUGUUCGGGACUUUG
rnacentral:rRNA from 2 species